rnacentral:rRNA from 1 species
UUACGGGAGGCAGCAGUUGGGAAUUUUGCACAAUGGGCGAAAGCCUGAUGCAGCAACACUGCGUGAAGGAUGAAGGUUUUCGGAUUGUAAACUUCUUUUAUCUGGGAAUAAUCUUGAAGGUACCAGAUGAAUAAGCACCGGCUAACUACGUGCCAGCAGCCGCGGUAAUACGUAGGGUGCAAACGUUAUCCGGAUUUAUUGGGCGUAAAGAGCUCGUAGGUGGUUUCGUAAGUUGGAUAUUAAAUACUCCGGCUCAACUGGAGAGAUGUAUCCAAAACUGCGUGACUAGAGGUAUGUAGGGGAGGAUGGAACUUACGGUGUAGCAGUGAAAUGCGUAGAUAUCGUAAGGAACGCCAAUGGUGAAGACAGUCCUCUGGACAUUACCUGACACUGAGGAGCGAAAGCGUGGGGAGCGAACGGGAUUAGAUACCCCGGUAGC